ACAUCGAACGAGCACAUGGAGUUCCAGACGCUGAUCCUCCGAGAAUCCAUGUGUGACAGAAAGGAUGGAUAAUCUUUUGGCUCAGUUCCAGACUGGUGGAGCCUGCAUGUGGUUGUUUCAGGCUGACGUACAAAAAGGGUGCAGCAUUUAUUCUGCCAGGGCUUUACAUGCAACAUUUUAUUUCACUUAUGUAUCUGUGGCAACGAUCCUAUUACCUUGUUUCUGAUAUGCCUGACUGCUGCAUAGCAGAUCAUGCCUGGAAAAUAUUGUGGUUUUGAAGUCAGAAAUUAACCUGUUAGUGCUGGGACUUGUUAAAGUUGGGCUCUGAUCACAAGAAUUCACAGGCUCAUACUACCUUGAAUUCGAUUAAAGUGGGUCUUCAGGACCUAAGUACCACGGUAGGUCUGGGCCCAGCUGGUUAGGAUUCUGAAAAACAGCUGAAUGAUAAUCAAAUAGGACUCCAGUGACUGCAGCCCACCAAGUUAAAAAAAUUAAUUUAAAAACAUGGUAAACCAAUGUGUUUUCUUAUUAAAGGCAAACUCAAGUCUUAAGAUACGCAUUAAACUUCAGUAAGAUACACAUGGCCUUGUAGUAUUCUUACAUACUCUACAUGAAUCGGAAAUACUGUACGUGAAUCAGGAGUAUAGAUGUUGUGAGCAUGUGAUGGCCCAGUAGAGGAUGAAAUACGGAUACUGAAAACAAAGAUCAGUGACUUGACUCUCUCUUCCCAAACCUAUUUCUCUCCCUCUAUAAAUAAGUUUGGUGCACAGAAUGCAAAUUUACGUCAUGGCUUUAUUGCUUCCUCUUCGCAGAGGAGGAUGUUCAUUCGAGUUGCUGCUUUCGAGUUCCACCUGAAGCUACAAAGCAUUGCAAUAUUCAGCUGUUUCAUGUUCACACACCGACGUUUUAAGUCAUUUCUCUUUCCAGUGGCAGUGAUGGGAGCAUGGGGUGAAGAUCAGCACAAAAAUAAGCCAUUUUGUGGACACAAAAAUGCUUGGUAUUGGUAGGACAUCGUGCGCUUGGAGUAACAUGCAGUUGUAAGGAAGAUGAGCAUGGAAAACCAGGAUCCUGAGUUCUGAUCUCAGCCUGAUCUUGACUCGCUGGGUGAUAUUAGGUAAAGGAUCCAUAUUAAACUUGAGGCCUCUGGGAAGAGGAAUGAAAUUUUAUGCAAGUGUUUGAGCAAGGGAGGUGGACUGAGGGAAGCAGAAGAAACAGGCCAGGACCCACAGGACUGUCACAGCUGCCCACGCAGCAGUAUUGAUCUCAGAGUUGUGGUUAUCAAACAGGUUUUGAUGACUUCCAAGAACAAAAGUAUUAAAAUACGAGAGCAUCAGUUAGAAAAUGUUGGCAAUUAGUAGAAGAAAUGGCGAGGAAAAAGAGGAGGAAGGAAGAGAUGCCAGUGUGGAUGAAAUGUCAGUGAAUGAGGUCACGGGGGUGUUCCAGAGAAGCAGCAUGCGGAGAGUGUUGGGACGAGUUCUUGCUGGUGUGCCAGGGGAGCGAGGGCCUUAUUUGUGUAGCCUUUUGGACUUGUACUGAUGCUACUAGGGAGACUUCGGAAGGGAUUCCAGGAAUGCCCCUGGAGGAUUGUAAUUGCAGUGUUGCCUUGUGACUGUGCUGAAUUAAGAAUCGGAGCCCAGCUGAAAUUCCCAGACCGAAGGAUAUGAUGGCUACUAGUAACCUUGGUGCCUUUUUUUAUGCUUUUUUCUAAACAGUAUCUUUUUGCAUUAUACAUGGUCAGUGUUUUUGGAGAAAAAAAGUUAUUUCUUAGGUACCUAUUAAAAUUUAAGAAAAUAGCAGGUCCCCUUGCCCCUUGUGUGCACACCUUCUCCUUCCAUAUGCUUUAGUGUUGGAAACUGAUCAUGACUUUCCAUUGUUAUGGGAAAACAUUUAAAUAGCACACCAUUUUAUAGACAAAGGAAGGAAAAAUCCAACAACUUUGUACUCUGCCUGUAGGAGCUCUCAGUCUAAGUAUGGCAAAAUUAGCAAAUAUGAAAUGUAGGCUAACAGCUAAGGAGAAUAAGGGAGUGAAGUUACAGAUGCUAAAUAAAGACAGGAUGAGAUUGUUCAAAGAGGCAGGAGGAAGGACAGAGGAUACUUGGCAAGAGAGACUCAAUGAUACGGGUCAGCUUUACUCUUACUGAAUCUGAGUGUUAUCCCAGAUUUGUGGAGAUACAACAUCCAAAGCCUUCCCAGGGAGAAAGAUCUUAGCCCAGAGGGCAGCGUGGAGUGAGGCUCAAAGCAGGGGGAAGAAAAGGAGAUGGAAGUGAGUGAGUGAGCAGGGAGCAGGAAAAGCAGAAGGAUUGGGAGCAUCCUGGGAUAGGACUGUGUAAAUGCUAACUGGGGUCUUGAGCAAAGUCAAAAGCAGUUUUCCCAAAAAUAACAGUGGUCUCAAGCCCAGCAUAAGAACUUGAAUUUGACCCAGAAGUAGAGAGAAUUACAGCAGUUCUGCUGUGUGUUAGGUCUGCAUUUGGAAUUUCAAACUUUGUUUUGCCUCUGGAGUCCUCAGUCUUGCACAGUCCCAUUACAGCAGUGGUGGUUUUAGUGAGAGUGCAGGUUUUAGUGAGAGUGAGUUCCUAUCCUUGGGCAGCUGCACUUUCAUGUGCACAGGCAUGUGCAUUUUCAGUAAAGGCUGUUCCCAGAGUGAAGAUUAGCUGGUGGAACUAACAACAGAGGCUUUUUGGAAAGCAACACUGAAUUUGCCAUAGGCAUGACCCGGUAGCAUUUUCCCCAGCCAAGCACUGGGACUGUGUGUGGAUGGCUCUGUUUGAUGAAAUCUGGGGCAGCUGAAGGGCAGACAGGCUAUUCUAGUGCUUGCAUGUCUGCUGCAGAAGGUGGAGGCGUACCGGUGUAACAUGGGGAAAUACUGGUGCACACUGAAACUUCCCUAAGAGCUCUGAUUAGAAGAUGCAAAUGUGAUGCUUUAAAAAAGGUAAUUUACUGACAGAAGAAAAACUAGUAAUGAGCUGAACAAUUAGCUUAUCUUUCACCUUUCUAGAUACUUUAACAGCUAAAGACUUAAAAUUAAUCUAGCAGAAGUCAGAGCAUUAAUUUGAGGCUGUUAAAAUCUUCCUGAUCCAUUUAUGGUACUCUUCUGGAGGAAGAGUUUCUUACUUCAAGUUAGCUUAACCCUCACUUUAUUAUUGCAACUGGUCAAAUUAAUUGCUAUAUUUGUCAGAGAUCACAAACUCUCCACAAAUCUGAUUGUAUUUACUCAUGUGUUUUCAUUUCUUGAAAGGUGAAGAUGUAUAAAAAAAUAAAGGAACUUUGGUGGCAGUUUGUUGGAGUGAGGAAUCAAAACUAUUUUCAGCACAUGUUAGUAAUGUACGUGAACUCAUAGAAUGUAUCUGAACUUU